AUAGGUGGCAAGCGUUAUCCGGAUUUAUUGGGCGUAAAGCGUGCGUAGACGGUUCUGCAAGUCUGAGGUUAAAUCUAGGAGCUCAACUCCUAUCCGCCUUGGAAACUACAGGACUAGAGUAUAGAAGAGGUUAGUGGAAUUUCAUGUGUAGCGGUGGAAUGCGUAGAUAUAUGAAGGAACAUCAGUGGCGAAAGCGGCUAACUGGUCUAUUACUGACGUUGAUGCACGAAAGCGUGGGGAGCAAAUAGGAUUAGAUACCCUAGUAGUCCACGCCGUAAACGAUGAGUACUAAGUGUUGCCUUCGGGGCAGUGCUGUAGCUAACGCAUUAAGUACUCCGCCUGAGUAGUAUGCUCGCAAGAGUGAA
rnacentral:rRNA from 1 species